AAUUUUUUUAUUUUUGGAAUAGCUUAUUUCUGGAAUAGUUAGAAAUAAAAAAAAAAAAAAUUGUGUUUGAUUUGUAAUGUUGUUAUUCUCAUGAAUAAUUGAAAUUGUGUUUGGUUAAUUUUAUACAAAAGUAGAGGAUAGUGAAAAAAAGUAGUGAUUGAAUUUAAUAUAAAAUAUAAUUUAAUAAAAAUAAUUUUUACAAAAAUAAAUUUAUUUUUGCAAAUUUUAGUUAAACUUAAAUUUAAUAAAAAUAUUUUUUUAUAAUUUUUAAUAUAAAUAAUAUGUAUUAAUACAGAAUAAUUAAUAAUUUUAUAAUAAAAAUAAUUCAUUAUAAAAAAAAAGAUAUAAUUUCUAUAUAAUUUAGUUUUAAUUUAAUUUAUAAUCUUAAUAAAACUUGGAAUUAAAACUUGGAAUAUCACUAUUCCGCCAACAAGGUGGAAUAGUUACNAUUUAUCACAAGCUACUUCGGAAUGGCCGAAAAUAGCAAUGUUUGACCAGAAUAAAAUAUUUGAACUAAAAACACUCCAUUUGACAUAAAUGCGGGGAUAACGAAAUCCUGAACCAAAUAGGGCCUAAAUAGAUAUGGUACGAGAUUUAGAUAGACUUCAGGUGUACACGAAAUAUUGCGUUUGAAUAUAAUACUUAAAAAAUCCUUUUUUUUAUAAGUUAAUAUAUAUAUAUAUAUAUAUAUAUAGAGAGAGAGAGAGAGAGAGAGAGAGAGAGAGAGAGAGAGAGAGAGAGAGAGAGAGAGCUAGGCUCCUAUGCUUUCGAAAGUACGGAGGCCUCCGUGCUUGUAAGUUAUUUUUGAUGAUGGGAUGUUCAAUUCGGCAAUCGGUUCCGUUAGACAUGAUCUAUGCUAUUGGAAGUAUCUAGAAACCAAAUUUCAUAAUUUUUUAACUUUGUUUGCCUAGUGAACGAGUAGCCUCAAAAUGAACGGCUGAAAGUAAAAAUCUCAUAAAAAACAGCGAUAAAGGACUCAAAUUUCAAAUCGGAAGUAUUGUUCUUGCUCUUGAUGUUAAGUAGAAUUUUCUAUUAAAGUUUCAUGUCAUUUGGAUACUUCUACACCGUUGAACUUAAAAACGUGCCACAUCGGCCGUUAAAAUAGUCAUUUUUUAAACCCUUUGAUCGCUAGGUAAAUGAAGUCGAAAAAUUAUAAAAUUUGGUUUCUAGAUAGUUCCAGUAGCAUAGAUUAUGUCUAACGGAGCCGAUCGUCGAAUCGGAUGUCCUAUCAUCGAAAACAACUUACAAGCACGGAAGCCUCCGUAAUUUCGAAAGCACGGAAGCCUCCGUAGUUUCGAAAGCACGGGAGACAUACUCUCUCUCUCUCUCUCUCUCUCUCUCUCUCUCUCUCUCUAUAUAUAUAUAUAUAUAUAUAUAUGUAAUUAUACUGCUAUACUAUUGAUAGUACCAAGUGUUUGGUGCUGUCAGGUUUUUGACCGUUGAAUGAAAAUGUGUGCCGUUAGGAUGAUAGUGAUUCCUUUACCGUUCGGUUCGGGGUUAAGUAAAAGCUAGUUAUUCCAGGGAUAGGGUUAAGUUCAGGGUUAAGGUGGGAUUAGAGUAAUUUUGUGUUUGGUUGAGAAUUGAGUUUAGUCCAGGUAUAGGUAAAAUAGUAUUUGGUUGGAGUAGAUGGGAUAAGAAGGAUAGUGGGUAAAAUAGUGUUUUGUUUGGUUGGAGUAGUGGGGUGGGAUGGGGUUAGCUAACUCCACCCCCCUAAAAUCAUGUUUGGGAAUAAAACCGGGAUUGAGGGGUUAUCCUACCCCUUAACCCCGAACCAAACACAAUUUUAGGAUUGAGUGGGUGGUUAGUUGAAUAGUAUAAUCUAACGGAUAGAAAUGAUCAAAGAGUAGAUCUAACAACAGAAAACUCGAUAGUACCUAGAGCUUGGUAGUAUCGAUAGUAUAGUAAACGGACUCAUUCACUAUCAUGUUAAGAUUAGGGAUACAAAUGGAUCUAGGUUGGUGAAGCUUCCGCCCCCGGAUGGACGGUAAGGGUCUAUUUGUUUGAGUGAAAGUGGAGAGGAGUGAAAUCGUUUUUAGCCGUAAACGAUCACUUUUGUUGUUUGUUUCACCGUAAUAAAGAAAUAUUUAGAAAUCAAUAAGGACAUUUUGGUUAACCAAGGAUAUAAAUCAUAUAAUAGAUAUCUUUAAAGUUUUAAAUAAGUAUAUUAGAUAUUAUCCCGAAUCCAAAAUACCAGAAUUCAAAUAAAUUGAUGCAUAAAAAAGAAAAAAAAAUAUUAUUUUCAUUCUCAACAAAAUAUUUUGCUACAGAGAGAGAUUGAUGAGUCACUCAAUCAAAUUAUCUUUCAUAAUCUACUCAGAAAAGCACUUCCACAAGAAAAAAGAAGGGAGAAAGAAAAAGGAACAAACAACAGUGAAGAAGAAGAUAAGAUACCCUCUUUUGUCAUAUGAUCUUGAGCUCCUUGAGCCAAGCUGUGUGGAGUGGGCAUGGAUCUGGCUUUCCUUGCGAAAGCGCUUUCUCGGAAAGUGAAUAAAACCAUCCAUUCCUCCACUUGAACUGUUACAUUUUGACAUGUUUCAUUAAGAUUGACCGAAGUUUCCGACACAAUAAACUCACAACUAGGUUUCUUUCGCAUGUUUAUAUCCCUGCAGAAUCAUCAGUUUCUGUAUUUUCCUUAUCGCCUCUCGACAGUGAUCCAAUUUGGUUUUGCAUUAGACGAGGUUUUUCUUGCGAGAGAAAUUGAGGUUUCACAGGUUUUCUGUUUUUACAAUUUGGAAGGACAUGUAGAAUUAAUUACCUCUUUCACAGCAGUUGGGAAGUGGGAAACAGCCCUGGAAUAAGCGCAUAGCCGCUCUUCCACGCCUUCGUCAAACGCAAUCCCUUUCUCCGCAGCUGCGGCAGAUGCUAAUUCUGCAAUUAAACUAGAAACCUGCGACAAUAAUAGCCACGCGAGUUAUUGUUUUAUAACAAAAAUGCUUACGUGGUUAUCACGAGACCACUAUUUACGAGAUCGAUCUGAGAGGAAACAAACUAGGAGUAAUGUUAAGCGCCGCACGCACACACGUGGAACUGCACAAGGUGAGAUUUUAACCAAUAAAAUACUGGCUCAAACGAUUGAGGGAGCUUAAUCUGGCCACGAUAUAGCGAUCGGCCCAAAGAUAGCCUCAACAGAACUAUCAAUUCAUGCAAACAAAGCUCUAUGAAAAGCUGGUUAGCAAAAGUGCAUACCGGUAUAUACACCGAAAUAAAUGGAGGGUCAUGUAGACACACACAAUCAGGUAGCUUCAUACGUAACAUGCGGCUAAUACAUGAGAUUUCCAACAACAUUAUUCAAGACCGUUUCGGGGAUAAAUAAACCACAUUUUUGUGUCGCAUAUAAUCAAUAAAUACCAGAAACGUAACGUAAUAUAACAACAUAUGGAAGAAUGCGGCAUUGAAAAAUGGCUUUGGAAAAGCAAUCACCUCUGACCGAUAAUCUUUCUCGACAACACCGACAGUAGCCCCUGGAUGACGAGCUCCGACAAGCAUGAACGCUGCAAUCCAUGUCAGUUUCUCCAGCAUUUGUUUCUGGAAAGGCUCCUUUUCAAGGACCUAAAGUAAAUUAAACCAGAAGCGGUAAUCAAUCUGAAAUCUGAAACUCUGCUUCUAUAUUUGCAUAAACAAACCAAGGAUUUAAGUGCCUACAGGUACAAGCCGUAUCUAACAUGCCGUGUCGUGCUAAUAAAAUAUUGGCACGAUACUGUCCCUGUGCCGAUAAUACAACUUAAAACUCCCUUUUCUUUAAAUUAGUAAGUAAUUUUCUCAAUAAAGUUCAAAUGACUUGAUAAAAAUAUAUAAUAGACAAUUAGAAUAUUUUAUUGCUAAAGAAAUAAUAUUUUAUACAAUUAUGUGUCGGCACACACGUAUUCUUCGUGACCGGCACGCAUCAGCAUAGUCCAGCACGCACCGUGCCAGCAAGUUUUCGGCACAAUCCCUUGCCACGGCACUUAAAUCCUUGAAAAAAACGACCAGAAACAAAGGGUGAUUGUAGGGACAAUAAUAAAAUGCAGCAGGGAUCCUCAACUUUCUAGUAGGGGUGGAAACGAGCUGAGCUCGAGCGAGCUUAUGUCAGCUCAAAUUCGGCUUGAAAUUAAUUUCGAGCCUAAAUCUAGGCUCAAGCUCGGCUUGAAAUUAAUUCGAGCCGAGCUCGAGCAAGCCUAAUUUCGAGUCGAGCCGAGCUCGAGCUCUAAACGAGCCGAUUGAAAUUCUCGACAUUAUAUAAUCAAUAGUUUAUUUUUUAUAGAACAUUACCUACAAUUUGAUGCAACAUGUCCAAUAGUUCAAAAUACAAAAUAAUUGCAAGAAAUGUGAGCUAGGGUGACUGCCUGACUGGGUGAGGGUCUGAGAGAGAGAGCGAGAGAGAGAGGGGGGGAAAAAUUAGAGAUUUGGGAAUUUGAAUGUUAUCAUAUUUUAGGGUUAUGUGCAACAAUGAAAGUCUGAAAGAGAGAGUGUGUUAUGUAAAUUUAGAGUUGGGCUCAAUUGCACGGUUAUACUUGUUGGUUUUAUUUUAUGGGCCAACAAUAAUGGCCCAAAUUAAAUUAAAGCCUAUAUAUAAUUAAAAUACAUUAUAUAUAUAUAUAUAUAUAUAUAUUCGAGCUUUCGAGCCUAAUUCGAACGAGCCAUGUAAUACUCAAGCUCGACUUGAAAUGAAUUUCGAGCCUUUUAUUUUGUUCAAGCUCGGCUCAUUUAAUUUCGAGUCGAGCUUGAGCGAGCCGAAUAUCAAGCCGAACACGAGUUGAAAGCGAGCCGGCUCGCUCGUUUGCCAGCCCUACUUUCUAGUGAAGCUGCAUUUCGCUCGGUAACCUUUCAAUUAUUACGAUGGGAUCCUCAACCUUCGAUUAUCUUACAUGCUUAGUGAGUUUCUUUGUUAAAUGGUUGGAGAUAUCCAUGUAAUUGCCUUUUAAAGCAAUAACUGUUCACUCUUUUAUUUUAUUUCUUAGGAUCGAUAUUUCUUAUGACGGUUGUACAAACAUACGCACACGCACUUCAACCGGAAGAAUUUAAUUGAAACGCUAACAAUCGUAGAAAAUGAAUGCUUCGAGGGCAAAAGCUGAAGCUUUGCUGAAAUGUUGAGAGUCAUCCUGGUGCACGAGAGUAACACCAUAUAAGACUUGUUUGCUUCGGCGCAAGCUAAGCUUUUGCACAGGUGUUGUUUGAGUAGCCAUCUGAAUAAACACUAACAGAUUUUCUCACGAUCACAAACCCGACAACUUCCGGUUGCAGCAGAAGCUAAAGCUUCAAAGUGGAGAUUCCUGUUUUCGGGGCAGAAGUUCAUUUCAGCAUCGCAGCACAUUAAAAGCUUGAAAUUUUUUUGUUUCACCAAACAAUUGACUACUGCUGCUUGGAAUGGACAAGUUGUAUUUUAAGCCAAGCCAAGUAAGUACCUUGCAUGAUAGCCCUCCACUAUGCAGCCGUGCCGCCACCGCCUGUGCCCAUUUCCCAUACGCCGCAGUCAACCCUUCCGGAUUCGUAUCCGUCUUCCCAUCCACCGGUGGCUCCCCGACCUUCGACACCGCAAAGUAAGCCAAAACUUGAUCGGCGUCGCCCAAACCCUUGCUCUCGAACCAGGGUUCGAGCAUCCCGUUCUGGAAGAACACCAAAUCUGCUCCAAUGUUAGAACAGGAUAAGCACUCUAGAAGCAAAAUUUGAUCUCCGGUAAAGUUUUAUUCGUUCUCGGUACGAAUUUAUUUUUUCUGAGGUAAGGAUUACACCUUGUUUCCAACACCCAUAUCAUUAAAAUCGACAGGAUUACAAUUCAGUUCUCGAAACUUCACUUGAUCAGAAGCUUAUUAGUGCUACAAUUUGGAUUAAUUCCCACUUAUUUGGAUGGAUUUCGAUAAGUGUAAGCAUAAGCAAAUCCGAGAAAUUGGGGUCAAAUUUACACUCUUUCAAGCUUCACAAACACAUCUACCAAAACAGGUAAACAAUUCUCAUGGAACCUAACCACCAAUUCCUUGUGCAUUGCAAAUGAAUUCCAUUCCUAUCAUUUAGCAUCAAACACUGUUUAUGAUUUGGCCCAAACUAACACCUAUUUUACUUCUUUUUGUGUAAUUCCUAAUGAUCUCCACCCCCAAAUUCCAUCUAAUUGCUACUUUGUACACUUUUUGGCUUUUUUGGCCUCAAAUUGAUCAUCUAUACCUUGUAGUUCCUAUAUGACAAAGAUCCUAAUAGAAUUAGGGUUCCUCGCCUUACUUCGCCAUCAAAGAUCUUAUUCAGAAUUAGGGUUUAGGGGGUGGGGUUUACCGCUCCACCGCGACCGGGGCGUGGCGUCGAGCACGGCGUCGAGGUCGUCGUUGCGGGUGCACACGAAGAUCGGCCCCGCGGGGCUCGCCGGAACCGCCUCGCCGCGGCCGACCAGGACGUCGCCGCCGCCUCCGCCGAGCGACUGCAGCAUCCUCCCGACCCUCCCUCCCCCAACGAUCACCGCCGGAACCACAGCGGUCGCCAUCGUCGCCGAAACCCUAACCCUAACCCUAAUCGAGGCGGGGAAGGGGAGGGGGAGGGGGAGGGGGGAUAACGGAGAGGGGCGGAGGAUAACGGCGGAGGUAACGGCGGCGGCCAUUUGAAUGGGUGUUAGUGCGGAGGCAUAACGGCGUUAAGCGAUCGUGCUUGUAAUUUUUAGUUGGCGCCGUUAAACGAGAGCCAUACGUUUCCGUUUGAGGGUUUAUCUCUUUGGACACAGAUUAUUGCGUGCGCCCGGUGUAUACGCACUCUCCAUACACCGGACCUAUAAUAAUCUUUUUUUUUUUUAAAGGAUAAUGUCUAAUAUACCCUUCAAAACUUCAAAAAUAUCUAAUAUAUCCCUGCUUGACAAAAAAUAUCGAAACUUCUCGAGAAAAAAAAAUCUUAUUAAAAAAGACUAAAAAAUAGAAUUUUUUUUAUGUAAAAACUCUAUAUUUUGCUCACGUAAAAUUUUAGAAAUAUUUUCGAAGAGUUGAAAUAAUCAAAUUAUCCUUAUUUACUUUAUAAAAAAAAAUAAUUUUGUAGCAUAUUUUUAUCUUUUUUGAGAAUAUUUUUAAUAUAAAUUAUAAGAAAUGAACGGAAUGUUGAUGAAACCCUAGCAAAGGGGGAACUAAAUACAUCAACUUAAAAUUUUGAGAAGUUAAAAUAUAAAUUUUUGAAAGUCACGAAAAAAAAAGAAGUGAAAAAGGUAUUUACAAAAUAAUUUUCAAUAAUUUAGCCUUAAAAUAAAUAAAAAUUAAUUUCUAUGGAUAAUUUAGGGAGAUCCCUUCCUCAUUACUCACCACAUCCCUUCCAACUAAUUUUUCAAUCCCUUAUCCAAAUUGUUGAACAACACCACCUACCUUUGAAACCAAACCUAACAAGGAUCAAAGUUUGAUUCAACUUGCAUAAAUUUUCAAACUUUUUGAAAAUCAAAAAAAAAUUCAAAUAUUUCAAAUCAUCAUCUUGACUCUUUGAUUGAAGUAAAAAUAUACAAAACUCACUUGAAUUAUCGACUAUUUUGAGUUGGCUACCAAAUCUUUUAAAUUUUUGGCUUUACUGCCCAACCUUUUAGUUUAUUUAAUUUGAGUCAGUCAACAGUAUUUUACUUUCAAAAUUUAAACGCGUCAUUUAUCUGUAUGCAUUUAGUUAGUAUACUUUACGCAAUUCUGGCAACUAUACAUUUAUUAAAGUUUCAAAAAAAUAGCUCCAAUUCAGUCCUUCUAAUUCUGCUGCAAAAAGAAGCUGUUGAGAUAUAGCGCUUCUUCAAAUUGCAUUACUUGAAAGUAAUACUUUGUUAAGGGCAUGAUUUGUUGAUGAAAAGUAAUAAAAGGAUAAAAAAUGAGAUUUUUAGAAAUUGAAUUUGUUAUGAAUAUUUGAUUAAAAUAGAGUUGAUCGUAUCUUACUUUUUUUUAAAAAAAAGUGGGAUCUUAUUUUAUAAUAGAAUUCUCUUCAAUCAACUUUUCGUCUAAUAAAAUAAAAAGUCGCAAAUUUUCUCUCUAUCUAUCCUAACACCCUGCCAGGUAUACACAUGAUUUUUUUUUUUUUUUUUUUUUUUUGCUAUCAACUUUUUUAUUGUGUAAUAAUUUAUAGGCAACAAAAUGUAAGAAGUUGGAAAAAUUUGUAGACAUUCACUUUCUAAAUAAUACUUUCUCAAAAAUAAUACUUAUGGAAAACCUCAUCUUUUUAAGUUUCUUUUUUUUUUUUUAUAAUCUAUCGUGCCCUAAAUAGAAUUAGGGCAGAAAAAAGAGCCAAACAAAUUUAUACCUAUUUAUACCUAUAUAUUAUUUUUCAUGCAGUUUGUCACUUGGUAAUUCCUCCUUCACCCCCUCCCUUCUCACUCCCUUAUGCUUCGCCUUCCCACCUCAUCUCUAUCCGAUGUUUCUUCUUCCCACUCGCCUACUUUCUAAUUAAUAUAUUCACAUAAUUCAUUUUCAUUAAAAUAAAUCACUUUAAAGAAAAGAGUAAAAUAAGAUCUCUUCAUACUCAUUUUUAUCACUUUUUCUGCUUUUUCUUAGUGCACAAGAAGGGUUCAAAUUUUAUAUUUUUCUUAAUUUUUUUUAUUUUUAAAAUUGUGUGCAGAUUGAAAUUAGGGUUCUGAGAAUUGCGACGGUGCGGCGAAAUGAAGUGCAAUGGAUUUGGAGUUAUGAGAGGAAAGAAGCGGUGGGUGUGGGGGGAUCCAUACGGUAUCAACGUGGCUGUGAUCAAGGAGAAUCGGCGUCGACAAUGGCGGCGGAGGCGACGGAGAGAACGGGAAUCACCUGUCCAAUCUCGACAGGGCGAUGAAGGUGUGUAUGGAAUAGUAAUUCUAUUACUGCUUUUUUCAUUAUUAUUAUGUAUAAUUUAUUUGCUGUUGUAAUCUUUGCUACCGUUAUACAUAUCUAUUUUAUAUUUUGUAUUUGUAUUUAUUGACAUCUCACGACAAGUUAAAAAAUUUUAAAAUGUUAAUUUUGUCAAUCUUUUAUCUUCUAUAGUAUUAGUUCGCCGCAAUGAGUAUGUAGUUCUUUAUCAAAUUACCAAAAAUUAAAAAAGCAUUUUUUUUUUUUGUAGAAGCUUCAUGGGAAACAAAUAGAUUCCUACAUAUGUAGGACCAAAAAUGUGAGACACAAAACAAACCCCAGCGUGCUCACCAAUCUCUAAUAAGAGAGAGAGAGAGAGAGAGAGAGAGAGAGAGAGAGAGAGAGAGAGACAAACAAAAAAAAAAAAAAGAAAAAGGGAAAAACCCAAAUACACGCUUUUAGGAUUGUGGUCUACAUAUAAUUGUUGCCUACACCUAGCGUAUCUCUAAAUUUCGUUUAAUUAAACCGAUCGUCGAUUCGGAUACUCUAUUGUCAGAAACGAUGCAGAAAUAAAUGGCCUUGUUUGCUUCUAGAUACAGAUAAAAUAAGGUGCAGGGCAUAAAAUAUACGCAUACACUUGCUGUAGGACAUAAAAGUUACAACUUACGAAGUUCAAAUACUCUAUAUUUCGUUUAAUUAUACCGAUUGUCGACUCGGGUGCUCCAUUGUCAGAAAUAACGUAGAAAUAAAAUGGUCUUGUUUGCUUCUAAAAUAAUUCUAGACUGACUCUAGAUACAGAUAAAAAAAAGUGCGCUGCAUAAAACGUAAGCAUACACCUAGUGCGGGAAAUAAAAUUUAGAACUUAAGAAGUUCAAAUACUCUUAGAUCUUGUUUAAUAAUACCAACUGUCGAUUAUGUUCAAAUACUCUUAGAUCUUGUUUAAUAAUACCAACCGUCGAUUCGGGUGCUAAACGAUGCAUAAAUAAAUUGCAUUGUUAACUUUUGAAAAUAUUCUAGCCUAACUUUAGUUACAGAUAAAAUAAAAUACAGCGCAAAAAAUUUAGUGCAGAGAAUAAAAUUCAAAAUCUAAGAAGUUUAAUGCUCUAGAUUUCGUUUACUGAUAUUAAUUAUCGAUUCGGAUGCUUCGUUGUCAGAAAUGAUACUAAAAUAAAUGACCUUGUUUACUUCUAAAUAUAUUCUAAUCCGACUCUAGAUACAGAUAAAAAAAAGUGUGGUACACAGAGUUUAUCUGUAUAUGUAGUGUAGGAAAUAAAAUUUAAAACCUGAGAACUUCAAAUAUUUUAGAUCUCUCAUUUAAUUAUACCGGUCGUCGAUUUGAAUGCUCUAUUGUCAGAAACUACAUAAAUAGCUUUGUAUACUUCUAAAAGUAUUAUAGUCUGGCUCUAGAUACAGAUAAAAAAAAGGUGUGGUGCAUAAAGUGUAUGCAUACACCUGGUGCAGGGAAUAGUUUCUCAUGGACUAGUGCUUGUGUGAAUCCUUGGACAAACCUUGUUGGAAAAGGGAGAUGGGUCAAGAUCUGGUACAGGGGAAUCCAAUAAAAUGUAACAACAAAAAAAUAUGCAUGUUAAAAAAAUAAAAAAAAAAAAAAAAUUUGAUUUUUUUUUUUGAAAAAAGCCCUCCACAUAUGGUAGUAGUACAAAUGGGUCCCUUUUUCUCUUAAUCAUCAUGCAAGCAUGCUUGCUUGUGACCAUUAAUUAUUUUGGUACAAUUUCAUUAAGAUCCUCAACUUAUACAUUAUUUUGGAGUGGCCCUCUUAACUUCCAAUUUUUUUUUUAUUAUUAGUGUAUAUAAUUUUUUUUAUUUUUGUUUCUUUUGAUUUGAGUUAUUUUGGUGGGAUGUAUUACUAAGAUUUUUUGAAAAUUAAAAUUCUAAUUUGGCCUUUAAAUAUAAGCGAAGUUGAUUGUUACUUACACCAACUACAUUAAAUUUAAUCAAGUUAACAUCAAACUUAAUAAAAAUCUCUAUUUUAUCUGAAAAAUAAAUCAGGAUAAAGUAUGGAAAAAUCGAAAAAAAUGACGAUGCACAUUUGAUAAAAGUUAUUUUCUUUUAUCAAUGGAAUUAAAAAUAUUUUUAAAAUUUUAAAAAUGUAAAAUAUAAAUUUUUAAAAGUCAACAAAAGAUAAAAAAAUAAUUUCAAAGAAAAAUUUUCUGUCUUUGUAGCCUUAUUAUUAUUAUUAUUAUUAUUAUUAUUAUUUAUUUCAUUUUCGCCUACAAAUUUUAUGUUUUUUGGCUCUUUUAUUAUUAAAUAUAUUUAAAUUACUCUUCUUCCCCAAUCUCCACUUUUUCUCUCUUCUAAAGCAGUUAUUGUUCUCUGCUCCCCUGUGCAUGGGCUUUGUCUCCACCUUCUCAUGCUCCCUCCAACAAGCCAACAACCCCUCCUUUCCCUCAUGCCCCUGUUCUCUUUGGGCACUCAAAAAGUUAAAAAUUUCACAUCUUUACAGCUAUUUCUGAUCUUUGUGUGGGUCUCAAUCAUCUAAAGAUCCCAUUUUGGGAGGUGGGUACUUGUCAUUUUGACCCAUAAAUGUUUGAUUCCAAGAGGCUUGGGAGAUGGGUAAUUUGUUAUUUUGAUCCGUAAUCCCCCCUCUCUACAGCUAUUUCUGAUCCUUAUAUGGGUCUCAACCAUCUAAAGAUCCCAUUUUGGGAGAGGGGCAUUUGUUAUUUUGAUCCAUAAUCUUUGAUUCCAAAAGUUUGGAAUUUGUUAUUUUGAUCCAUCAUCCCCCUAAUCUGCAGCUAUUUCUGAUCCUUGUGUGGGUCUAAAUCAUCUAAAGAUCCCAUUUUGGGAGUUGGGUAUUUGCUAUUUUGAUCCAUAGUGUUUGAUUCCGAAAGGUUUGGGAGAUGAGUAGUUUGUUAUUUUGAUCCAUAAUCCCCCUCUUUACAGCUAAAGAUCCCAUUUUGGUUGUUACUUUGAUCCAUAAUCUUUGAUUCCACAAAAAAAUUUGGUGUUUUGGUGCUAAAAAUGUUGGAUUUUUUUCUUUUUCCUCUUCUUUUUGUUUUUGACCCAAGUUUUGUUGGGUUUUUGGUGUAGGUUGUUGUUCCUGUUGAAAGAGACAGGUUAUGGCUUUGUUGCUGCUCCCUUUUGUGCCAUUCAUGGCAAUUAGGGUUUCACUUUUUGUGAACCAGUGAAGGAGACUACCACUACUACUACUUGUCUAGAUCAUUAAAAAAAAGAGCAUCUUUUACAUUCUAGAGAGAGAGAGAGAGAGAGAGAGAGAGAGAGAGAGAGAGGGAUAGUAAGGGAGAGUAUGGGGCUCUUUGAGUUGAUGGGGGACUCAUUCGGGUGCUCCGCCGCCGGAGAACGGCUCGUCUCCGCGGCGAGGGACGGGGACUUCCAAGAGGCCCAAGCACUCUUGCAGUUCAAUCCCCGCCUCGCAAAGUACUCGACAUUUGGUGUCCGCAACUCCCCUCUACAUUACUCUGCAUCACAGGGGCACCAUGAGGUGAUCACCCCUUCAAUGCAAUGAUCUAUCACUACUGCUAUUAUUCGCUUGCUUCGGUUUAGAUUCUCGCUUUCAUUUAUAUGCUUUGAAUUCCUUUAUUAGGUUGUUUCUCUUUUGAUCGAAUCCGGUGUCGACAUUAAUCUCAGAAACUUAAGAGGCCAGGUAAAAUUUGCUUUGUCGUAAAUUUGUGAUUCUUUGGGGCUAAAUUGUUUGGUAUCUUCUCAACUUUUAUUCAUUUUCAUGCGAGUUAUUUCGGCAUUUUUUUUUAAAAAAAAAUUGAAACUUAGGGACUAGAGGAUCUCAAAUUACGCAUCUACAUACAUUUUUACCUUCUUCGGCUAAACAAAAUUGAUCCUCGCAUUUGUCGAUGAUGGUUUGAGCUUGAAUCAUCACAAAAAGCAAUUCUCAGUGGAUAGAUGAUAAAAACUUGUAUGAUUGAAAGAUUUUUUUUUUUUGUUUAUUUAUUUUUCGACAGACGGCUUUAAUGCUAGCUUGUCUGCACGGUCGCUGGAAGGUUGUUCAAAUUCUGAUGCUCUUCAAAGCAAAUGUAAGAUUUUUUUUUUUCUUUUUUAGUAUAUUUGCUGCGCUUAAUCUCGUCGACUUGUAUUCUAAUUUCAUUUCUUAGCAAUUUGAAUUGAUAUGAAUAUUUGAAUGUUCUUUUAAAAUCUUUAGAUACACCGAAAGGAUUAUCUCAGCGGCGGAACAGCUUUUCACUUUGCAGCUCUAAACGGCCACACCCGCUGCAUUCGGCUCCUCUUUUCCGACUACGUGCCUAGCUCAUCUGAAUUUUGGGAUAUUAUGAGGGGGAACUCGAACUCGAACUCAAAAAAAGAUGCUUUAAAUACGCACUUUGAUGAGGUGUAUGUUGAAUUCUAAUCUAUAUCUUUCGAUAUAAAUCUUUUCGGUUGAAAUGCAUGGAUAGUUUCUUUGCUAUCCCGAUAAUGCGACUUAAACGCCUUGUUCAAGUGAAAAGUUCACGGAACAUGUCGCAAUUUCGGAAUAGUAUAGAGACUAUCCAAAUACAUUUUACCGUAAUCAUUUAACGACUAUUGUAAGUCUAUAUCUCUCUUUGUAUUUGUUUUUUUUUUUUUUUUUUUUUUUUUUUUUUUUGUCGUAUAGUGUGCUCUCUAAGAUAGUGAACAAAAAAGCAGACGGAGGCGUCACCGCGCUUCAUUUAGCAGCGUUAAACGGACAUGCCGAGAGCGUACAGUUGCUAUUGGAUUUAGGAGCUUGUGUCUCCGAAACUACCGUCGAUGAUGGGUCGACGAUUGAUCUAAUAGGUGAUUUUUUAAGUAGCCUCCUCAACAUGUAGUUCUUUUUUUUAUUUCGGUACGGUUCGUUGGCAACAUAAAAGCCAUAUUCGAACAUUUUUAAGUGUUGAAUAUAAAUAUUAAAAACACCGUUCUUUAGCAGCUUAAGCUUUUGGAGAACAACGGUUGUUCCACUUAGUUUAACAUGGUAGUAGAGCAGAAGAUCCUGAUUUCUUGCCCCGCCAAGUUCCCGACGUUAUUUAAUUUCUUCCAUUUAAUUCAAGCUUACGUAUUUGGCUUAUCAAAAAGUCUCAAGUCUGGACGUGAGGGAGAACGUGUUGAAUAUAAAUAUUAAAAACACCGUUCUCUGGAAGUUUAAAGCUUUUUUAAAUUUAAGUUUGAAAUUUUGAGACGUGAUCGAAUGAUGGUCAAACUUUUAGAUGCUAAAUUUGUAACUAGAAAUUUUUUUUUUCCCCCUUCUGUCUGGCAGGCGCAGGAAGCACACCGCUUCAUUACGCGGCUUGUGGAGGAAGCGCAGCAUGCUGUCAAGUAUGUAAAACUUGUUGGUUUUAAUUUAUUUAAAUGUUUUAUUUUUUUUUGCGUUGAUAGGUAUUCAAAUAUUCUUCAGAACACGAUGAUUAUAAUUUUGUCGACUGUUUGCAAAUGCAGCUUCUUAUUGCAGGAGGCGCGAGCUUGACUGCCGUGAAUGCUAAAGGGUUUGUAUUACGACCUAUCAUUUUCACACUUUAUAUGGAUCGAAUAUACGGGAUAUAGAAAAUUCUCGAUACGAAAUGAUACAAAUUGCAUGUUUAAAGUAAUGCCAUCUCGUUUCUGGAAGACUUGAAUGGGGUUUUCGUACUGAAAAGCAAUAGCUAAGCAUUUGGCGAACAGAAAGUCUGGAGCUUUUGCUGUGGCGGGAAGCUUAAAUGAGCUUUUAGGUUUUAGAAGUAGAAAUUCUAAUUUGAAGCUUCUACUUUUCUUAUUAUGAGAAGCUGUUGGGAGAGCGUAUCAAUGAAAAAGCUGGAAGUACAUUUUUAAGUGGUUUUAUCCGAAAUCACUUCUAGCGAGGCGAUUCGAAGAAGGUUCGAAACUACAAAAAGUUUAGAGGAAUUCAAUUAUGCGGUAUACUUGUCGAUAUGUUUUGAAGGAUGAAAAUUCUAGGAUCCUCCGUCAAGCCUAUUUCGCUCGGCUAUAGCUUUUGCAUGCUGUUGUCUGAGCAGAGUUGUUUGAAGAAGCAUUAACAGCUUUUUGCACUAAGACUCCCCCAACACCUUUCCGCGACGAAAGCUCUAAGUUCGAGCUUCUGCUUUUGGUGCUUAGAAUCUCGUUUGAGCUUCUCACCACAUCAAAAGCGCUAGGUUUUCUUUUCGUCAAACUCUCGACUGCUUCUUCUGAAAGAGCUUUUUAGGUCGAAUCAACCAUAAAUUCGCUUGAUUUUUUUAUUAUAUUUAUUCUUUAUAUUUUUGCGAUUUGCUUACAGUUGGACACCUGUGAUGGUCGCUCGUUCAUGGCAUAAAAGCUGGCUCGAGGCCAUUCUAAGCAAACAACCAGAAGGUCGCUUACGUGCUCUUCCGUCCCCUUAUCUUUCGCUUCCUCUCAUGAGCAUCGUCAAAAUUGCUCGGUGAGUUUCAUUUUGAUUUUUUUUAUUUGCUCGGAAACGAGAGGAUUUUUUAAAAAAAACUGAGCUACUUUUUAUCUUUUGCAGAGAAUAUGGAUGGAGAAAGAGAAUACAAUCACCAGCUUGUUUUGAUCCGUGUGUCAUUUGCUUGGAAAUGAAGUGCAAGGUAACCGCGGAAGGUAAUUUCGAGUACAUUUUUCUCUUGUUUUCACUAGAUUGUAUUUUGAAAAACUGUUGCCGUAAAAGAAUACUACUAUCAAUUGCCGCUCAAAUGCUGUCGUAAUAUUACCAAAUUUAUUUAGCUAUGUACAUCGACACCUCUCUUUUCUAUGUCAUGUCACGUCACGUCGACAAAAGGUUGCACCUCAAAAUGUUGUUGAUGAAUCAGCUCCGUAGUGGUUCAGCUUUUCUCAGACGUGACACUUGCAAUGUGUGUCGACUCUGACCAGCUAAACCACUCACCAACCACCAUCUAUUUAAUACUGACUCAUCAUCAACUACAUUCUGAGUACAUUUUGAGAUACACGUAGCACCGGUAGUCUAUUUUUUAAUACGAUAAGCACUUCAAAACCUCAGAAUGUUGUUGAUGAAUCAGCUCUGCACGUGUGGUCGCUAAUGAGUGGUUUAGCUUUUCUCAAACAUGACUCCUGACACGUGUCGACUCUGACGAGCUUAACCACUCGCCAGCUACCAUAUGUUCAAAACUGACUUAUCGUCAACUACAUUCUGAGUGCGUACCAUCUGAGGUACGCGUAGCACUACUAGUCCUUUUUUUUGCCUAUGAUAAGCACAUCAAUAUCUCAUUUUCAUAGGUUGCGGUCACGAGUUUUGCACCGAAUGCGCGCUACACUUGUGCUCGAACGGUGGCUCCUCGGCAACAUCUGCCCGCGGCCCUCCUGGCUCGAUCCCUUGCCCUCUCUGCCGGCAACCGAUCGUCUCGUUCGCCAAGAUCUCGAGCGCCACGCCACUAAAGGAGCUUCCGUGGACGAAAACGCCUUUGGCUCUUUGCACCACGGGCUCGUCCGGAGGCUCGAGCGGGUCCGGCUCGGUGGCCCAUUGGCUUGCGAAACCAAACAUCCGGUACUCCGACGUCGAACUGGGGUGCUCGACCUCUCGGUCUCUUAGCUUCCGGAGAGUCCCGUUGAUGAAGCUCAAUCCUGCACUUUGCGUCGGAGACGACACGAUGAGUCCGUGCCGUGCGAGAUGCUCGAGGCCGGAGUUGAAGCGGUCGGCGUCUCAUCGAGAGAGUAGUCGAAAGUUGCGGCUUUCGAAUUGCUCUUAAAGAAUCUCUACAUUUUUUUUUUUUUUUUUUUUGUUUUGAUUUAUGCUUUCUUCUCUUUUUUUUUUGGCUUUUCAUUUAUUUGGAAUUUGGCUUUUGUGGUUUUUGUUGAAGCUUUUAACAGUUCUGAUAAUUUGUAAAUAGAGACCAUAUAAUUUUUGCACUAUAAUUUACCUACACAUGAAGUGUUAAGCGAAGUUUUUUUUUGGGAAAACUUCAAAAACCUCCCUUGUGGUUUCACUCUUUCUCACUUUAGUAUCCUGUGGUUUAAGGUGUAUCAAGUUAGUAUCCUGUGGUUUUGCACUUUUUCACUUUAGUAUCCUGUGGUUUGAAGUGUAUCAAUUUAGUACCAUGUGGUUUCGCAUUUUCUCACUUCAGUAUUCUGUCGUUUCGUAUUUUCUCACUUUAGUAUCAUGUGGUUUAAAAAUCAUAGGGUACUAACUUGAUACAAAAAUAAAACCACAGGGUACUAACUGGAUGAAUUUUAAACCACAGGGUACUAAAGUGAGAAAGUGCGAAAUCACAGAGUACUAACUUGAUACACUUUAAACCACAGGGUACUAAAAUGAAAAAGUGUGAAACCAUAGGGGUUUUUUUUUUUGAAGUUUUCCCUUUUUUUUUUUUAUGUAAAUAGUGUGUAGGUGAGUUUUUAGUUCCCUGUUUUUUAAGAAAAUACUUCAAAUGCCACUUCUGUGGUUUCAGACUUUUUAAUUUUAGUAUCAUAUAGUUUAAAGUGUAUCAAUUAAGUAUCUCAUGAUUUUAUUUUUCUCCUUUUUUUUAUUUUCUCCACUAUUUUUUUUCGUUAAAUCAGUGACAAAUUUAAAAUUAAAAGGUAUUAACGUGAAUAUUCGAUAAAUCUACGUGGAGUAUCUGAAGUUUUUUGUAUAUAAUUUAACAAAAUGUUAAAGAAGCUGACGAAAAGAAAAAAUUGAAACCACAUGAUACUAAAUUGAUAUAUUUUAAAUCACAUAAUACUAAAAUGAGAAAAUGUGAAAUCACUGGAGUGCAUUUUAAAGUUACCUUUUAUUUUUUUUUUUUACAUCUACAUGAAGAAUAUAUUGGAUUAUGUAAAACACCAGGGCCAACAAAUACUAUGUUAUUUGUUUUCCCUUUCUUUUCUUUUUUUUUCUUUGUUUUAAUGAAUUUUAGAUUUGCUUGUUUCUCGAAAACAUAUAAAAAUAUUUUUCGUUAAAAAAAAAAUUUAGGGAAAAAUUUUUUGCAUAAUUUUGUUAUUUUUGAUAAAAUUAUUCAAAAAUAAAACAUUUUUUUAUAAAACUGAAAUAGUAUUUAUUUGUUUUUUAAAAAAAAUAAGGAUUUGAAAAUAUUUUUUCAGCAUGAAAAUGUUUUCUCAAUAUAUUUGGAAACAUAAAACACCCAUAUGUAUUGGGGCUUUUCAUGUAUUAGAGAGAUAUAAGCGGUUGCCACUUGAAAAAAGCACUUUGGGUAAAUGUUUUUUUUUUUUUCUUAUUUGUUUAGCUAUUAUUGAUGCGUCAGUAUUAUCUGUGAUACAAAAAUAAAAAUUUUAAAUUAAUUUUUUUUAUUUUUAAAGUUAUUCUAAAAGUCAAACCAUACAAAACUAGAAUAAUCGAAUAUAGACACAGAAAAGGAAAAGUAACUUAAAUAGCUAAAUUUACUUUUAUUAAUAAAUUACUACAAUAAAAAAUAUAUUAAUAAAUUAGAAUAAUAAAUUUUUACCAUAUGAUUAUUACAAUAAAAAAUAAUAAUAAAUAAUUUAUUUCAUAUUAAAUAGUAUAAAAUAUAAAGUUGUCUUACAUUUUAUUAAUUAUUUUAUAAGUUGCUCAUUUAUAUUUUAAAUAGUGUAUUCAAAAUAGCUAAAAGUAAUUAAAAUAUAUUAUAAGAAUAAAAUUGGCAUAUUAAUUUGAUUUCAUUUCUGAUAUUUACUUGAAUCAAACACCGACAAUAGAAAUGAUUCAUUUUGAUUCCGAUUCAAGUGGUAAACCAAAGAAUCAUCCCGAUUUCGAUUCCAAUUUAAUUUAAUCCCGAUUUCGAUUCAGAUUCUAACUUCCAACCAGACUCACUUUUAUUUUAAACACCAUAUAAGACAUAACUCUAUUUUUACAAUAUUUUGUUCUUUUUAAUUUUUGAAUUUAUUCCCUGAGAUUUAUAAAAUAAACAACCCAAAUUAUAGGAUCAGGAAAAGUAGGAAAGGUUGAUGUCCUAAAUAAGAGUCUCUAAUUAAUUAAUUAUUUAGUUAGUGGGUAUAACAACCUUAAAGCUAAAAUUAAUGUAUGAUCUUUAAACUAAUCAAAAAUUAAUUUAGUAACAUCACCAAUGAUUUUAUAUGUGGCAAUAAAUUCAUAUUUACUUCUACAACCUAGUUGUUGAGCCACUCAUAAGUAAUUAAUUAUUAGUUUUUAAUACGAAUUAAAAUAUUUUUAGUCCGCAGAAUAUUCUGAUAGUUUUAGUGCUUAUUUGAUCUAGCUUUUAAAAUAGAUUUUAUAUUGCAAGAACACGUAGUGAGAUAUUUAGUGAAGUCAUUUUGGACAAGGAGUUUGGUAGCGAGGUCAUGACAGAGAGUGUGGCUGCAUAUGGCAAUGGUCACAAGGACGCCACAGAAUUUGAAGACGGUGAUGAGGGAGAGCACGUCGGGGCAAGGGCAGCAGCUGCAGAGUCUAUAGUGGAAAAAGCAGAGAGUGAGGAAUGAGGUGUUAUAACAUGAGAAUAUACAAAAGGUAAAAGAAAAAGGAAAAUAAAAAAAGAAAUUUUCUCUCCUAGAAUAACCAUCACGUGCCGCAGCUACUCGGAAAAAGAUUAAGAAGUAAAAAAAAAAAAAAACCGAUGAAAAAAAAAUUACACUAUUUGGGACUAAAAAUUUCAUUCUAUGCACAACUUUUUAUAUAGUGCAAUUUAGUUAUAAAUAGUAUAAUUUUUUACGGUAUAACUUAGUCUGAAAUAAUACAAUUAAUUAGUUGUAGACAUCGUCAUCGAAUAGGUCGUCUCCUCCGCCGCCAUGGUCGAGGUUAUCAAAUGCUUCACGCACCUUCCUCCUCCCAUAGUAGAGCACGAGAAGAGACCCCAGUGUGAGGGGCCAUAGUGGAGGAGCACCUCUGCAAUCUAUGCUGUAUUCGAGCCUGCGUCUCUGUCAUAGAUUCUGACGGAGAACUGGACAAGGCAUGGGGGAGGUGGGCAGCGGCAACGUGCGAGCGGUGGAAGAGGAGGGAGGGAGACAAACGCGCGCGAGAGAGAAGAGAGAAAGAAAAAUAAGAAUAAUACAAAUAAUUUAUUAAAAAUAUAAAUAGUCCAAAGGCCGCGAAUGAUUUCCGCCCUAUCAGUCUAAUUAAUGGUGUACAAAAAUUUAUUCCAAAAGUUCUUACGAAUAGACUUGAGGGCGUUCUAUAUAGAGUUAUUUCCCUUUCGCAAUCGGCCUUUCUCAAAGGAAGGUCAAUCUUGGACUCCUUUGUAACCGCAAGCAAAGUAGUGAAUUAUGUUGGCUUAAAUGGGCCAGCAUCCUGCCCUGUGGCGGGAGGCCAUGUGGGCCGAGUCAUGUUCGAAAUGGCGUGAGGCUGGGUUGGGCCGAGUCAUGUUCGAAGUGGCGUGAGGCCAGGUGGGCCGAGUCACAAUCGAGACCCGUGGGCGCUGUUUCUGUACGCUUUAAGUGAAUUGGUUGCGUAUUUCUAACAGCUCGAGCUUUUGGGAUUAAUGGUUAGCGCCAACGAUCCGACAAGUUAGUGUUCUAAAACAGGGGUCGAGAGCAUCGGAGUAAAAGCUGAUUUUGAGAAAGCAUACGACAGAGUCUACUGGAGCUUUCUUCGGAAGAUCUUGUGUUGGCUCGGGGCAUCUCAGCAAUGGAUCUGUUGGGUUGAACAGUGUAUAGCCAAUGCAAAAAUUGCCAUACUUAUUAACAGCACCCUGACCAAAUGGAUUAAGACCAAAAGGGGACUACGUCAGGGGGAUCCACUUUUUCCAUACCUCUUUAUCAUUGUGGCAGAAGGCCUCGCAAGGGUGAUGAAAAGAGCAGUAUGCAACGGUUUGAUGAGGGGAGUUGGGCCUAACGUUGAAAGCAAGGUCUCUUUUCUUCAGUAUGCUGAUGAUAUCAUCUUCUUCUGGGAGGCUAAGAAAAGACAAGUGAGGAACCUACGUUUUGUGUGGUUUAUCUUUGAAUGGGCCUCGAGACUUAAAAUCAAUAGAAGAAAGUCCAAACUUUUCUAUAUGGGGAGGAAUGUGCAGAAGGGAGAAAGAUUAGCGGAAAUCUUAGGAUGUAAAUUGGGCUCAUUUCCGACAAGGUAUCUUGGGCUGCCGCUAUCGAACAGACGACUAUGCAGAUCGGAUUGGUGGCCAAUCAUCAAUAGAGUCGAACGAAGGAUAGAAGGGUGGCAAGCUAAACUCCUUUCGACCGACGGCAGGCUUGUGCUGGUUAACUCGGUACUCUCGAACCUGCCGCUCUACUUCUUCUCUAUCUUCAGAGCACCUAAAUGGGUAAUUAAACGAAUCGAAGCUCUGCGGAAGGCUUUUUUUUGGAAAGGAAGAAGGGAAGUAACUGGAGGGCACUGCUUGGUCCGAUAGAAAACAGUAUAUAGGAACAAAAGAGAUGGAGGGUUAGGGGUGAAAGACCUAAAGACUAUGAAUUUAGCGCUACUGGCUAAGUGGUGGUGGAGGUUCUUAUCGGAUAAGACAACGUUAUGGAGAUCUUUCUUACGAGGAGCUUACUAUACGAGGAGGAUCCCCCUUAGGGAAGGGGCAACUUUUAGACCAUACUCACAAUGGUGGCAAAGCGUCCCGUCGAUCUGCAACAUUGUCCGGUGUGGGGUUUCCUAUACGAUUGGUGACGGUAGUUUGGUGAGCUUUUGGAGGGACCGAUGGUGUGCACAACUCCCAUUGCAAUCGAUGUUCCCUCAUAUCUUUAACGCUGUAGUCACGAAGAACUACCGAGUGCGGGAUUAUUCGGGCAUCUAUGGUUGGCGGUGGCGGAGGAUAUUGCACGGGUUUACACCAAGCUCUCCUGCAGAUGAAGACUCAGUCCAGGGGCUUAAGGAACUACUAUGCACCGUGAGUUUAGUGGAUAACGGAGACGAAGUAAGAUGGAGAUGGAGUCAAUUAGAAGUAUUCACGGUUAAAUCAUUGUAUAAAUUCUUGCAGGAAGGGGGGGUGAUAGAGACGAACUUGGCGCCACUUUGGAGGACCAAAAUUCCGCUUAAAGUUAAAAUUUUCGGCUGGCUGGUGGUGAUGCGGAAGGUGUUAACGAAGGAUAAUCUCUCGAAAAGGGGAUGGUCGGGAGAGCACACUUGUGCCCUCUGUUUGGAUGAACCAGAGAAUAUUGAUCACCUUUUCUUAAAUUGCUACAUCUCACGCGCGCUCCUGAGCUGCCUACUACCAAACAAACUGUGUCUAACGGCAUGUGGGUCAGUAGGUGGUCUUUGGAAGGAAUGUAGUAGUAAACAGGAAGCGCUAGGGAGAAAAGGAUCGGCGAUCCUAGUUGCUACAAGGUGGGCUAUUUGGUUAGAAAGGAAUAGGCGUAUUUUCGAGAACAAAAAGCUCACGGUGAGACAGGUGUUGGUAGAUCUACGAUCUCUCUUUAUUUUGUGGAACUCUUCUUGCUUCCCAUCUUUGCUAAAUUCAUCUUCUUCAUGAAUGAAGCGGUAGUAUGCUACAUUUUUUCAAAAAAAAAAAAAAUUGUCUAUUUAUAUGAAAAUGUAAAAUUAAUAUUUUUUUUUGUGCAAAUUGAAUUGGGUGAAAAAUUAAUCCAACAACACAGAAAAGUUUCUAUGCGGCCACCGCAGCCACUUUAGCGCUUUACAGCUGUACUUCAAAAUUCGUGACGUUCGCCGCUGACGUCAGCAUCCACUGGUUCGCUUCGCCCCCGCAUCCAACGGUCCCUAUUGGUCCACGUGGCACUCAGUGCCGUCCCUCUCUCUCCCCCGUUGUUCUCCACAAAUUAUUUCCAUGGACCGUGGUCCACCGUAGACCUGUUUCCGUAAAAACCUCAAAAUUAAAUCCUAAAUAAAUAUAUAUUUUUUCCCUCAGUAGAACUAUACAUAAAUAUCUUAAUUUUUAUUAGCCUUAUUUCUUAUAUAAUAAUGCAUAAUAAUGACCUAGCUAAAAAAUAAACUAUAACAUAAAAGUUUAUAUUGUAUGUUUUCAAAAUUAUUAUUUAGUUAAUUUUUUUUAGAGCUUUUUUUAGAUUUUGAGAAUUUUUAAUAUGAGAUAAAAUCUUUAAGAAUUAAGGAUCUGAUUUUGAAAGGAAUAAGUCAUAAUACGAUAUAAUUGUUUUUAACAAAACUUUAAAAUUAAAAAUUUUGAUUAAAUUAGAGCUUUUUGGGGGCAUGUAAAAUUUUGAUGAAAUAGUAUCUAUUAUGGUUGAUAUGCAGAAAUGCAAUAUUAUAUUUAAU
rnacentral:lncRNA from 1 species